UUCAACUUGAGAGUUUGAUCCUGGCUCAGAGCGAACGCUGGCGGCAGGCUUAACACAUGCAAGUCGAGCGGGCAUCCUCGUGGUGUCAGCGGCAGACGGGUGAGUAACACGUGGGAACGUGCCCUUCGGUUCGGAAUAACUCAGGGAAACUUGAGCUAAUACCGGAUACGCCCUU
rnacentral:rRNA from 1 species